rnacentral:misc_RNA from 1 species
GAAAUGCGAUACGUAAUGUGAAUUGCAGAACUCAGUGAAUCAUCGAAUUUUUGAACGCACCUUGCGCUCUUUAGUUAUUCUGAAGAGCAUGCUUGUUUCAGUGUCGCGAACCUCUCAACCCCGCCAAGGGCUUAAUUGACUUUGGUUGUUCGGGCUUGGAUCAUGGUCUUUUGUCGUUACCCUUCGUGGGUUUGGACUGGACUGAAAUACAACAAGUUGAAUGAACCCAAUUGCAGCUUGACCUGAUGUUGUAAACUACUCAUCGGGGAUGCAAUCAAGUUUAAGGAACUUUAACAAAAACCCCUUUGUUGGUCGGACAAUCAGCUUCGGCUAGAUCCAAUCAAUCUUUAUGACCUGAAAUCAAGUAGGACUACCCGCUGAACUUAA